UCGAGAAUUUUUCACAAUGGGCGAAAGCCUGAUGGAGCGACGCCGCGUGGGGGAUGAAGGGCUUCGGCUCGUAAACCCCUGUCAUUCGAGAACAAACCCUACGAUUUAAUAGAUCGUGGGCUGAUAGUAUCGGAAGAGGAAGGGACGGCUAACUCUGUGCCAGCAGCCGCGGUAAUACAGAGGUCCCAAGCGUUGUUCGGAUUUACUGGGCGUAAAGGGUGCGUAGGCGGCGAGGAAAGUUUGAGGUGAAAUCUCCAGGCUUAACUUGGAAAAUGCCUUGAAGACUUCCUUGCUCGAGGGUCGUAGAGGAGACUGGAAUUCUCGGUGUAGCAGUGAAAUGCGUAGAUAUCGAGAGGAACACCAGUGGCGAAAGCGGGUCUCUGGACGACACCUGACGCUG
rnacentral:rRNA from 1 species